rnacentral:misc_RNA from 1 species
GCAAAAAUCGGAGCCUUCAGUUUGGCCAGUAAGUAUAGUCUGCUCCUGUCAGUGCUACCUACGUAUAUGUGUGUUUUAUGCAUCAAAAUUGGCGUCUUUUAAUUCGUUUGUUGUGAUCAAGUGCCGUUGACCUUUACCUUAAUCGUUCAUCAACUUGGAAACAUUUCAGUCAGCAGAUAUAGGGGAGCUGAAGGGAGUUAUAGCUCAAAAACGUAACCUCAAACAACAAAAGGGGGCAGAGUUUUGGCGGCAAAGGAUAUGACAAAGGUUGGCUGAAAUCCGUCCAGAACUCCGAGAAGCAACAUCGCCGCUACCGACGUUCGUCAGGAGGAAACGAAAAAGCUCAUCAUUGUUUCCCAUGAGUUGACAUCAUGUUUUUAAAGAACAUUCAAUCUGAAUUUUACGACGUGGUGAAUGGAAAACAAUGCCUUAUACUUGUUAACUUUGACGUCGAUGCCAUCUGUGCAUCUAAAAUACUGCAAACCUUGUUCAAAAAUGAUAAUGUUGUGUAUACCCUUGUUCCUGUUCAUGGAGUCAGUGAUAUGAUUAAAGCAUUCAAGGAUAACUCAGAAGAGAUAGAGUAUGUUAUAAUGAUCAACUGUGGUGGAACGCUAGAUAUUGUGGAUAUACUCAAGCCCGAAGAAAAUGUGAUAUUUUUUAUACUUGAUAGUCACAGGCCGUUUGACUUGUGCAAUGUUUAUAAUGAGAAACAAGUACUUAUCAUUGCAGAUGAAGCAGCAGAAGAAGAUAUUCCAAACUACGAAGACGUCUUUAAUGAUGAAUCCUCUGAUGAAGAAGCAGAAGAGGAAGAAAAUGGCUCUGAUGAAGAAAACGAAUCUCGUCAAGCCAAGAAACGACGACUAAUGGAAAAUAAAAUCUUGAAAAAACGAAAUUUGAGAGAAUGGGAGGAAAAGAGAGAUACCAUUAUGUUUAAUUACACACAAUACAGCUAUUAUGGAAAAUCCACUGCCGUUAUCGUUUAUGAAAUGGCGUGGCAAAUGUCAAGAGAUAAUUUAGAUAUGGUGUGGUGGGCAAUCGUUGGGUCCACCGAGCAAGCUAUUUUGAACAAAGUAGAGUCCAGCACAAGUGUAUUAGAAUCCGGUACUUUGCAGGGACAUGUGUCGCGACUAAGUCAUACCAGGGGAGGCGAUGCAGACCGGCAACAGCUGAGUGCUGUUAAGGUUUCAUACGAGAAAGAUCUUCAACUAGCCUUGUAUCGUCAUUGGACUGUAGAAGAUAGUUUAAAGCACUCAAUGAUGACAGCUGUUACCAUGCGCCUUUGGUCUAUCAAAGGAGAUCAGAAAUUAAAAAAACUUUUAGCCGAUAUGGGUCUUCCUCUCAUUCAAGCUAAGCAAAAGUUUUCAGCGAUGGAUCUCAGUUAUAGGAAUGAAUUUAAGGGUAUGUUAGAAAAGUUGGCGGAGAAGUAUAAUUUAGAAAAGGUGGUGUGUGCUAGUUUUUCAAUACACCAUGGAUAUCGUUUUAAAUAUUGUGCUUCCGAUAUUGUUUAUGCAAUGUUAGCCAUAUUAGAGUCGACGUCAAAGGAUAGACCACCUGAAAAAUGCUUUUUAGAAGCCUCCGACUGUCUUGUUCGUACCAACAAAGAUAUUCUCGACAAAGGUAUAGAAAAAGCCAAAACUAUGCUUGUCAGCAUUUUUAAAACCGCUCAAGGCACAUUAGAGCUCAAACAAGUUGUCAACGCCGAAAGGUACACACUUUGCCUUUGGUCGCUUCCUCGAUAAUAAGCGUCGAAAAGGGCACGUGUCUUAUUGUUGGUAUACCGCCUGUGAUUGAAGAGCAACCCAGAAGUUUGUUUGGUCGUGCCUUUGAACAAGCAGCUAAAAACACCAAUGCGUCAAUAGAAGCGGACUAUUUCGACACCACAA